rnacentral:tRNA from 1 species
GACUUUUUAACUAUAUAAGUAUAUAUUUUGAAAAUAUAAAAAAGAGAAUUU